GCGGCUAUGGUUCAAUGGUAGAACUUCUCCUUGCCAUGGAGAGGAUAGGGGUUCGAUUCCCCUUAGCCGCUCCA
rnacentral:tRNA from 2 species